rnacentral:misc_RNA from 1 species
UUUCCGUAGGUGAACCUGCGGAAGGAUCAUUAUCGAGUUAGGGUCUCUGGCCCGACCUCCAACCCUGUGUCUACUAUACCAUGUUGCUUUGGCGGGCCCGCGUUCGUCGCCGCCCAGGGGUUGACCCCCCUGGGCCCGUGCCCGCCGAUAGCCCCCCCUUAAACUCUUGAUCAACAGGGAAUGUAGGGGUAAAAAAAAAAUCAAGCAAAAAAAUCUCAAAAACGGACCUCUUGGUUGUGGCAUCGAUGAAGAACGGUGCACACUGGGUGCGCGACAGUU